UGAUACUAUAUGACUUUACGUCACAAACAGUGUUGCUGUUUGGACAAUGGUAGGAUGGGGUGCUGGCUAAAUGUCAUAGGUUCCUGUGAACUUUUAAGCCAGCCCCAUAAUUCACUCUGACAUUUUAGUGAUCACUUUUCAAAUGUCUUCCGAAGUAGCCCUCAGAAAAAAUAGAAUGUACACAUUCAGACAAUGUCGAGGAAGGAAGUAUUUGUCACUGGAACGUGCUCUGAAAGCAUGGGUUUGGGAUCAGCUGGGCAUGCGCUGUGGAGUGGCACAACCUGCCUUCCCCUACUCUGCACAGAUGUCGGUGAACGGAGCCUCUGACACCCAGUGAGAACCCUGAAUCCUUCUCCAGCUCUGGAGCCACAGUGUUAGCAGAUGCUGCAGUUUGGUGUCAUAAAAGCCAGUUUUUGACGUCCACUUCUUCCACCUGACAUGCUGCCCUUGUUCUGUCACACUACACCUGUUGUCACAGGCUUGACCCUUCUCUCUGCUGGCAGCUCCUCUUCAGAAACCUAACCAACCCUGCCGUGCAGCCUGUCAAAAGCACCUGGGCUCUGGUGCCUUCCAGCUUCACCCAUGCAUGCGUCUUUGCAUUUUCCAACCAGAAAAGGAAACACACUCUCUAAAUAGUCCAUCCAUCUCAUCUGGCAAGAGGAAAGACCAAGGCAUUAAUUUGUUACACAGAUAUUUCUGAGCCAGGUGCUAUAUGCUGGGCACUGGAUGAGAAGAUGAAGCCUGAGUCUAGCCAGAGCCCUCAUGCUUAGCACGACAUCUGGUCAGCACAAUGUCUGGUCUUCAGCAUAAGAGACUCUAACUUUCCUGAAAGCCAUGAUGAGGGAGAGCAGGACUCAGCGUCACUUCUCUGCCAACAGCACAAUGAAGAUGGGGAGCCACAAGCGCAGACUGGUUCUGUUACAAGAACCAAUGAAGACAGGUACAUGCAUCAAAGAUUCCUUACUUGGCAAGAAUGCUACUGUUGAUGUUUAUCAUGACAAUGGUGGUGGUGAUGCUGGUGAUGCUGGUGGUGUUGAUGGGGAUGGGGGUGGCAGUGGUGGUGGUGACAUAAUGGAGAUGAUAGAUGAAAUGCUUCUGCUAGUGAUGCUGAUGUGACAUCAUAAUGAUACAGUUUCACUGGUGACAGUGAAGAAUAUGAGGAUGCUGUUGAUGUGUUGAUGAUCAGGUCACAAAGAUGGGGCCAACGACAAUAAUGUGAAGAUGUUGCUGAUGUGAUAAUGUAGAUGCUGAUGAAGUUGAAGCUGACACAAUUAAUGGAAUAGAAACCCUGACUAAGAAACCACACUAUGGGCACUACUGGACUGGCUAUCCGGAAUAGAAGUAACUGGGCUUGCUGCUUGAGGUCCUCCCAUCACGCAUAAACCUAUGGGCAAGUAAUGUGA